AGUGAACGCUGGCGGCAUGCCUAACACAUGCAAGUCGAACGGCAGCACGGGCAGCGCGCUCUCUUAGAGUUGGCGACGGGCGGGUGAGUCAGCGGUACAUCCGCAGCUGCUGGUUCUAGGCCGACGACGGCGGGAAACAUACGCUACUCGCGCAUACGGUGAACGGGGGGGAGCAAGAGGCCUUGAGCGCUUGCGCCGCUCGAUGAGGCGAUGUCGGAUUAGCUAGUUGGUGGGGUAAAGGCUCACCAAGGCGACGAUCCGUAGCUGGUCUGAGAGGACGAUCAGCCACACUGGAACUGAGACACGGUCCAGACUCCUACGGGAGGCAGCAGUGGGGAAUAUUGGACGAUGGGCGCAAGCCUGAUCCAGCCAUGCCGCGUGGGUGAAGAAGGCCUUCGGGUUGUAAAGCCCUUUUGUUGGGGAAGAAAAGCUGUGGGCUAAUACCCCGGUGUGAUGACGGUACCGAAAGAAUAAGCACCGGCUAACUACGUG
rnacentral:rRNA from 1 species